rnacentral:rRNA from 1 species
GUGAGGAAUAUUGGGCAAUGGGCGAAAGCCUGACCCAGCCACGCCGCGUGAGUGAUGAAGGCCUUCGGGUUGUAAAGCUCUGUGGGGAGGGAAGAAAAAGCGGGAGAGUAACUGCUCUCGUGUUGACGGUACCUCCUUAGCAAGCACCGGCUAACUCUGUGCCAGCAGCCGCGGUAAUACAGAGGGUGCAAACGUUGCUCGGAAUUACUGGGCGUAAAGCGCGUGUAGGCUGACAUGCAAGUCGGGUGUGAAAUCCCAGGGCUCAACCUUGGAACUGCACUCGAAAGUGCACGUCUUGAGUACUGGAGCGGGAAGCGGAAUUCCGGGUGUAGAGGUGAAAUUCGUAGAUAGCCGGAGGAACACCAGUGGCGAAGGCGGCUUCCUGGACAGUAACUGACGCUGAGACGCGAAAGCGUGGGGAGCAAACAGGAUUAGAAACCCCGGUAGUCC